AUGUCUGUAGAUGCCACUGCCGGACAUCCGAAAGACAGCGAGGUGGUUUGGAGCAGCCCGGGGCGGAGCUGGCGGCGGCGGUGGGGAGGAGGAGGCGCGGGCGGAGCAGAGCCGGGGCUGGCGGGGCUGGCCGCAGUGCUCCUGGCGGCUGUGAGCAAAGCCCAGGUACAACAGGAGCCGGCGGCAGAGACCAGCGAGGGCACCGGCAUCAACAUCACCUGCUCACACCCCAGCAUACAGGCCAAUAACAUCCAGUGGUACCGUCAGCUCCCGGGCCGAGCCCCUACAUUCCUCGUCAGCGCCGUUACAGGCUUCAAGGAGGUGCCGGACCCGGAGGGGCAGCUUUGGGUGUCGGCAGACCGCCGCUCCAGCAUUCUGCGUCUCGCCCGGCCCCGGCUCGGGGACGCGGCGCUGUAU